AGAAGGAUAGAGGUAGUAACUGGCCUUUAUUUGACGGUAACCGUAGAAGAAGCCCCGGCUAACUUCGUGCCAGCAGCCGCGGUAAUACGAAGGGGGCUAGCGUUGUUCGGAUUUACUGGGCGUAAAGCGCACGUAGGCGGAUUGUUAAGUUAGGGGUGAAAUCCCAGGGCUCAACCCUGGAACUGCCUUUAAUACUGGCAAUCUCGAGUCCGGAAGAGGUGAGUGGAAUUCCGAGUGUAGAGGUGAAAUUCGUAGAUAUUCGGAGGAACACCAGUGGCGAAGGCGGCUCACUGGUCCGGUACUGACGC
rnacentral:rRNA from 1 species